UGACAGGCAACAGGCAGGGGGAACUCAGGUACCUGAAGUUGUAGCUGCUUCUUUUAAUAAUUUAUUGCGUCUUGUUAACGCGCCAUAUUCUAGACGUUAACUUUACGAGCUCAUAGCUUCACUUCUUGCGCGUCCACCCUGCGAACGCUAAGUCAUUAAGCUAGUGACAGUUAGCUUCAGCUUUUAGCCUCCAUGACAGCUGCUGUGGAAGAACCGGGGAGACGACAGGUGACUCGACAGGUGACCCGUGUGUGAGCAGCCAUAGAGCCGCUUCAGGAGAAUUAAAGCUCAACUGAUGACCCCGUACAAGUCUUCCUGGCAAAUCCUUCGGUGGUGCUUUUUACUGACUACAGUGUGGGACAUGUUUAUGAGACAACACUGGAGCUGAAAAACUUGACUUCCUCAAGCCGUCAUAUCCGAGUCAACCCACCUACCACUCCUUACUUCUCUAUUGGCCUGGGUGAGUGCUUCCUUAUUGCUCUGUAUGGAUAAUACAGCCUUCUGGGGCCCUCCUCUUUGUGAGGAAGUCAUCAAAUAUAUCAAGAAUCAGUGAUGGUAUCAAAAAGGAAUGCCCGAGUUUUCACCAUAGACUGUAAAUAUAGAUGGACAAUGAUUCUCCACUUCUUCCAGUCCAAAAAAAAGCUGAAGUAUCCUCGAUAUCGGUGCCGCCAUCUUGCGCUUUUGACGACUUGACAGAAGCAAUCUUUGAGAAAGAUAUAUUUAACGUCGAUCUCUAACUCUCACAAAUCAGUGAGUGUCAUCUUACAAUAUGGAGACUAAAACUACCUCGUUUUGGAGUUUUCGUCACACGGUGUGACCGUGGCGUAGGUGUCAAAUUUUGAUGAGUCGCCAUCAAAACACGAGGUUGUUGUAUCUCGGACAUACAUGGUCCAAUCUACUCCAAACUAGGCAGGUUUGACAAUAAUCCUGGCCUGAUGACAUCUACACAGAAAUCAUUACUUAAAAUCACA